rnacentral:rRNA from 1 species
UAGGUUGAGCCUACGUCGGAUUAGCUAGUUGGUGGGGUAAAGGCCUACCAAAGCGACGAUCCGUAGCUGGUCUGAGAGGAUGACCAGCCACACUGGGACUGAGACACGGCCCAGACUCCUACGGGAGGCAGCAGUGGGGAAUCUUGGACAAUGGGGGAAACCCUGAUCCAGCGAUACCGCGUGUGUGAAGAAGGCCUUCGGGUUGUAAAGCACUU